rnacentral:rRNA from 1 species
GUGAACCUUUACACUCUUGAGAUUUAAGUGUUCAGUUGUCACAAAUUACAACUAAAGGAUAACACUUUCCUGAAAGUGAACUAUUUCAAGAAUGAGGUAACACAGAAAAAGAGCACACACAAGUAUGGUAUGAAUCUUUGUGUAGCUAAUAAUGAAAAUUAUAAAUCAAAAUUCUUGAAAGCAUAUAAAUGAGUAAAUUAUCCAGAAUGAAGCAUUCAAAUGUUGUUGAUGCCAUGAAUCCAUCUGUAGA